rnacentral:lncRNA from 1 species
GUGCUCUCAUUGAUAAAUUAAUAAAAGAGUCGAACAAGUUUGUUCAUAUUGCGUGUUUGUUUAUUCGAUCAAGGGCCUGAUUUCCAACAAUUGGUAUCAGAGCUUGGCGGUUUUGAGAGUCGUUUUCAAGAAAGGGGGAGCCGCCCCUCGCGGGGCUGCUGGUGGCGGAACGGGUAGCUAUUGAAGACGAAAUAGCUGAAAAAAGUGCAUCCGUAAAGGAAAAGAUAAAAAGAGAAUAAACGAACUAAUGGGUUCGUUGCUACAAUUAAAUGGAUGGCAAUUUGCCCAAACAGCAGAAACAUUAGUUGAGGUAAUUUUUUGUUCGGCUUAAACUUUUGCAUGGAUAAGGCAAAGCAGGAGGAUUAUUUUUAUUGUUGUUUGAGGAAUAAAUUUGGAGCAAAUUACGAUGGCCCCGUAGUAGAGAUCGAGGAGAUGGUCGAGUACAACGGGACAAGAGCCUAGGGCUCGUAGAAAGCGGCUUUGAAGAUCGGAGGAAGUCUCCGCCCCCGGCGGGUGUGCCGGGUCGGUGGAGGGUAGGCGUAAAAGAAUGUGUUGUUUCAGGGUUGUUUAACAGCGGAAGACGAAGACGUUAAGGUGUUCAGUUUAGCCGUUGUUGCGGGUAAGAACCGGUUGAGAUGACGGGGGUGACCGUGAUGAACAUCGGUGUUCGUGGCUGUUAGCGAUGUUUAAAGGAAGAAGAUGCUAGGCUGUUCGGUUGUUAGUUGCGGGUUUGCGCGGCUGGUAUAUAACUGGUGAUAACAGUAGAUGUUGAGAACGGGUGCCUUGAUCGUGUUGUUUCGUGAUAAGAGGAGACCGGCGUGUUGCGUGAUAAACGGGCAGAAAAAUCCGUCAAAGCAGGUGUGCUUUGGAUUGCUUCGUUUGGCAAGGUGAGAAAACGGAAGAAGCGGAUGGCUUGUUUUCUUGGUCGGUGGAGAGGCCUCUUGGAACAAGUUUGAUCGGGAAAAGGUACGGGUGUCAAGAUAAUGGCGUUGGAGUUCAAAUCGGGUGACUCGGAUGUGACCGGGGAGAGGUCGUCAAUCCGUGAUGAGUCAAGAUGUUAGUGAACGUGUGUCCAACGGGAUGCCAUAAGGCUUUGGGCAUGACCGUGGCUGCGGUCGGGAGUCCGGUAGAAGUCGAGAUGGUUCGGGAAAAAAAGGGGUGAUUCGGUCAUGAGCGGUUACGGGAUAAAAGUCACGUGAAAUGUUAUAAGUGCGGAGAAUAUGGUCAUUAUAACAACGAGUGUCCAAAGUUGAAAGAUGAAGAGGUGAACUUGACCCGAUAUGAAGGUGAUGAACCGGCUCUAAUGUGAAGAAAGUUAUUGACAAGAUUAGGGGGGGGGUGAUUGUUGGAACUAAUCUUGUCAUAACUCAAAGUUGGAGGGUGCUAAGUGUUUUAGUUUAUUUUAUUUAGGUUUUCUAAUUCUAGUCUAGGGAUGUUUUCUUGGGCAUCAAGGUUUAUUAGAUAGGUUUAUCUAGUUUGUUUAUUUAUUUUAUUAAUAGAGUUUGAGUCGGGUUAGGACUAGAAUAAGUUUAGUAUAAAUAGAUGAUUAGGGUCAUUGUAAUUAGUGUGCUCUCAUUGAUAAAUUAAUAAAAGAGUCGAACAAGUUUGUUUAUAUUGCAUGUUUGUUUAUUU